GAGUUUGAUUCUGGCUCAGGACGAACGCUGGCGGCGUGCCUAACACAUGCAAGCCGAAGGAAAGUAGCAAUAUGAGUACUUGGCGCAAGGGUGCGUAAUGCAUAGGUAAUCUGCCUUUUGGAUGAGAAUAACUCAGCGAAAGUUGAGAUAAUACUCAAUGAUGCAGUGGCUCCGCAUGGAGACAGUUGUUAAAGAUUUAUCGCCAAAAGAUGAGCCUAUGUUCUAUCAGAUAGUUGGUGGGGUAACGGCCUACCAAGUCUACGACAGAUAGCUGGUCUGAGAGGAUGAUCAGCCACAUGGGAACUGAGACACGGUCCCAACUUCUACGGAAGGCAGCAGUGAGGAAUAUUGCUCAAUGGGUGAAAGCCUGAAGCAGCAACGCCGCGUGGGCGACGAAGGUCUUCGGAUUGUAAAGCCCUUUUGCAGGGGACGAAUAUCCUGUUCUACGGGACUGACGGUACUCUGCGAAUAAGCCACGGCUAACUCUGUGCCAGCAGCCGCGGUGAUAC
rnacentral:rRNA from 1 species